GACGAACGCUGGCGGCGUGCUUAAUACAUGCAAGUCGAACGGAAAGGCCCUGCUUUUGCUGGGUGCUCGAGUGGCGAACGGGUGAGUAACACGCGAGUAACCCGCCCCUGACUUUGGGAUAACUCUAGGAAACUGGGGCUAAUAUCGGAUAUGAGCUCUUGCUGCACGGUGUGCGUUGGAAGGAUUCGGCGGUUGGGGAUGGACUCGCGGCUUAUCAGCUUGUUGGUGAGGUAGUGGCUUACCAAGGCUUUGACGGGUAGCCGGCCUGAGAGGGUGACCGGCCACAUUGGGACUGAGAUACGGCCCAGACGCGUACGGGAGGCAGCAGUGGGGAGUAUUGCGCAAUGGGCGGGAGCCAGAUGCGGCGGCGCCCGGUGCGGAAUGACGGCCUUCGAGGGGUGAACCACUUUCGACUGUGACGAAGCGUGAGUGACGGUAAUGGGUAAGAAAGCACCGGCUAACUACGUG
rnacentral:rRNA from 1 species